UGACGUUAGCGGCGGACGGGUGAGUAACACGUGGGUAACCUACCUAUAAGACUGGGAUAACUUCGGGAAACCGGAGCUAAUACCGGAUAAUAUUUCGAACCGCAUGGUUCGAUAGUGAAAGAUGGUUUUGCUAUCACUUAUAGAUGGACCCGCGCCGUAUUAGCUAGUUGGUAAGGUAACGGCUUACCAAGGCGACGAUACGUAGCCGACCUGAGAGGGUGAUCGGCCACACUGGAACUGAGACACGGUCCAGACUCCUACGGGAGGCAGCAGUAGGGAAUCUUCCGCAAUGGGCGAAAGCCUGACGGAGCAACGCCGCGUGAGUGAUGAAGGUCUUCGGAUCGUAAAACUCUGUUAUUAGGGAAGAACAUACGUGUAAGUAACUAUGCACGUCUUGACGGUACCUAAUCAGAAAGCCACGGCUAACUACGUGCCAGCAGCCGCGGUAAUACGUAGGUGGCAAGCGUUAUCCGGAAUUAUUGGGCGUAAAGCGCGCGUAGGCGGUUUUUUAAGUCUGAUGUGAAAGCCCACGGCUCAACCGUGGAGGGUCAUUGGAAACUGGAAAACUUGAGUGCAGAAGAGGAAAGUGGAAUUCCAUGUGUAGCGGUGAAAUGCGCAGAGAUAUGGAGGAACACCAGUGGCGAAGGCGACUUUCUGGUCUGUAACUGACGCUGAUGUGCGAAAGCGUGGGGAUCAAACAGGAUUAGAUACCCUGGUAGUCCACGCCGUAAACGAUGAGUGCUAAGUGUUAGGGGGUUUCCGCCCCUUAGUGCUGCAGCUAACGCAUUAAGCACUCCGCCUGGG
rnacentral:rRNA from 3 species